GUAGUUUGACUCCGUGGCUCAAGAACGAACGCUGGCGGCAGGACUUAACACAUGACAAGUCGAGCCGCCCUUCUUUUAGAGUGAGCGGACGAACGGGUGAGUAACGCGGUAGGGAAUCCUACCCUCUCUACGGAAUAACACAGAGAAAUUUGUGCUAAUACCGUAUACGUCCCUUUUGGGAGAAAGAUUUAUCGGAGAUGGAUGAGCCCGCGUUGGAUUAGCUAGUUGGUGAGGUAACGGCCCACCAAGGCGACGAUCCAUAGCUGGUCUGAGAGGAUGACCAGCCACACUGGGACUGAGACACGGCCCAG
rnacentral:rRNA from 1 species